GCUUAACACAUGCAAGUCGAGGGGCAGCAUGGUCUUAGCUUGCUAAGACUGAUGGCGACCGGCGCACGGGUGAGUAACACGUAUCCAACCUGCCGUCUACUCUUGGACAGCCUUCUGAAAGGAAGAUUAAUACAAGAUGGCAUCAUGAGUCCGCAUGUUCACAUGAUUAAAGGUAUUCCGGUAGACGAUGGGGAUGCGUUCCAUUAGAUAGUAGGCGGGGUAACGGCCCACCUAGUCUUCGAUGGAUAGGGGUUCUGAGAGGAAGGUCCCCCACAUUGGAACUGAGACACGGUCCAAACUCCUACGGGAGGCAGCAGUGAGGAAUAUUGGCCAAUGGGCGAGAGCCUGAACCAGCCAAGUAGCGUGAAGGAUGACUGCCCUAUGGGUUGUAAACUUCUUUUAUAAAGGAAUAAAGUCGGGUAUGCAUACCCGUUUGCAUGUACUUUAUGAAUAAGGAUCGGCUAACUCCGUGCCAGCAGCCGCGGUAAUACGGAGGAUCCGAGCGUUAUCCGGAUUUAUUGGGUUUAAAGGGAGCGUAGAUGGAUGUUUAAGUCAGUUGUGAAAGUUUGCGGCUCAACCGUAAAAUUGCAGUUGAUAUUGGAUAUCUUGAGUGCAGUUGAGGCAGGCGGAAUUCGUGGUGUAGCGGUGAAAUGCUUAGAUAUCACGAAGAACUCCGAUUGCGAAGGCAGCCUGCUAAGCUGCAACUGACAUUGAGGCUCGAAAGUGUGGGUAUCAAACAGGAUUAGAUACCCUGGUAGUCCACACGGUAAACGAUGAAUACUCGCUGUUUGCGAUAUACGGCAAGCGGCCAAGCGAAAGCGUUAAGUAUUCCACCUGGGGAGUACGCCGGCAACGGUGAAACUCAAAGGAAUUGACGGGGGCCCGCACAAGCGGAGGAACAUGUGGUUUAAUUCGAUGAUACGCGAGGAACCUUACCCGGGCUUAAAUUGCAGAUGAAUUACGGUGAAAGCCGUAAGCCGCAAGGCAUCUGUGAAGGUGCUGCAUGGUUGUCGUCAGCUCGUGCCGUGAGGUGUCGGCUUAAGUGCCAUAACGAGCGCAACCCUUGUUGUCAGUUACUAACAGGUUCCGCUGAGGACUCUGACAAGACUGCCAUCGUAAGAUGUGAGGAAGGUGGGGAUGACGUCAAAUCAGCACGGCCCUUACGUCCGGGGCUACACACGUGUUACAAUGGGGGGUACAGAGGGCCGCUACCACGCGAGUGGAUGCCAAUCCCAAAAACCUCUCUCAGUUCGGACUGGAGUCUGCAACCCGACUCCACGAAGCUGGAUUCGCUAGUAAUCGCGCAUCAGCCACGGCGCGGUGAAUACGUUCCCGGGCCUUGUACACACCGCCCGUCAAGCCAUGGGAGCCGGGGGUACCUGAAGUGCGUAACCGCGAGGAGCGCCCUAGGGUAAAACUGGUGACUGGGGCUAAGUCAUAAC
rnacentral:rRNA from 1 species